UCUUCGAUAGUACAGGGGUUAGUAUACCCGCUUUUCACGCGGGCGACCCGGGUUCGAUUCCCGGUCGGAGAA
rnacentral:tRNA from 15 species